GUGAGCCGCUUGAGGGAAAACCUCACGAGCGGUUCUUAUGGGGAGGGGCUGGAAACGGGCCGAGCCUGGACUCAGGUACCGCGCCAGUCCCUUACCCGAC
rfam:Nitrococcus mobilis Nb-231 scf_1099646003885 genomic scaffold, whole genome shotgun sequence.